CAUGAUGAACGCUAGCUACAGGCUUAACACAUGCAAGUCGAGGGGCAGCAUGGUCUUAGCUUGCUAAGGCCGAUGGCGACCGGCGCACGGGUGAGUAACACGUAUCCAACCUGCCGUCUACUCUUGGACAGCCUUCUGAAAGGAAGAUUAAUACAAGAUGGCAUCAUGAGUCCGCAUGUUCACAUGAUUAAAGGUAUUCCGGUAGACGAUGGGGAUGCGUUCCAUUAGAUAGUAGGCGGGGUAACGGCCCACCUAGUCUUCGAUGGAUAGGGGUUCUGAGAGGAAGGUCCCCCACAUUGGAACUGAGACACGGUCCAAACUCCUACGGGAGGCAGCAGUGAGGAAUAUUGGUCAAUGGGCGAGAGCCUGAACCAGCCAAGUAGCGUGAAGGAUGACUGCCCUAUGGGUUGUAAACUUCUUUUAUAAAGGAAUAAAGUCGGGUAUGGAUACCCGUUUGCAUGUACUUUAUGAAUAAGGAUCGGCUAACUCCGUGCCAGCAGCCGCGGUAAUACGGAGGAUCCGAGCGUUAUCCGGAUUUAUUGGGUUUAAAGGGAGCGUAGAUGGAUGUUUAAGUCAGUUGUGAAAGUUUGCGGCUCAACCGUAAAAUUGCAGUUGAUACUGGAUAUCUUGAGUGCAGUUGAGGCAGGCGGAAUUCGUGGUGUAGCGGUGAAAUGCUUAGAUAUCACGAAGAACUCCGAUUGCGAAGGCAGCCUGCUAAGCUGCAACUGACAUUGAGGCUCGAAAGUGUGGGUAUCAAACAGGAUUAGAUACCCUGGUAGUCCACACGGUAAACGAUGAAUACUCGCUGUUUGCGAUAUACUGCAAGCGGCCAAGCGAAAGCGUUAAGUAUUCCACCUGGGGAGUACGCCGGCAACGGUGAAACUCAAAGGAAUUGACGGGGGCCCGCACAAGCGGAGGAACAUGUGGUUUAAUUCGAUGAUACGCGAGGAACCUUACCCGGGCUUAAAUUGCAGAUGAAUUACGGUGAAAGCCGUAAGCCGCAAGGCAUCUGUGAAGGUGCUGCAUGGUUGUCGUCAGCUCGUGCCGUGAGGUGUCGGCUUAAGUGCCAUAACGAGCGCAACCCUUGUUGUCAGUUACUAACAGGUUCCGCUGAGGACUCUGACAAGACUGCCAUCGUAAGAUGUGAGGAAGGUGGGGAUGACGUCAAAUCAGCACGGCCCUUACGUCCGGGGCUACACACGUGUUACAAUGGGGGGUACAGAGGGCCGCUACCACGCGAGUGGAUGCCAAUCCCCAAAACCUCUCUCAGUUCGGACUGGAGUCUGCAACCCGACUCCACGAAGCUGGAUUCGCUAGUAAUCGCGCAUCAGCCACGGCGCGGUGAAUACGUUCCCGGGCCUUGUACACACCGCCCGUCAAGCCAUGGGAGCCGGGGGUACCUGAAGUGCGUAACCGCGAGGAGCGCCCUAGGGUAAAACU
rnacentral:rRNA from 1 species